ensembl:lncRNA MEG8 maternally expressed 8, small nucleolar RNA host gene
CUGUGUGAGUAGGGAGGACAUAGGCUGCUGUUAGUAAUUGUCUUAAGUUCUUAAGUCUAAUAUCAAGGAUUUUGUUAGUAAAUUUUGAUUUUAUUAUUAUAAAGAGAUCAAUGACAAAUCCAACAAACAAGCAUAUAAACAAGUAAAAAACGAGACUGAAGCAUUGUUCGCCUAUGAAUAAAUGUGAUUAGGCAAGAAAAACUACUAAUAUAAAUGGAAAACACUGACGUCUCAAGAAAUACAUGUAUCAAGCAUGCUACUUUGUCUAAGGGUCUUAAGACACUGCAUAUAAGAAAUAGUCAAUAUUAUUGUUCUGGAUCAGUUCAAGUUCAAGUUUGUUAAUUUUUUAAAAGAAAAAUAUGUAAAUAUUAUCACAGAUUAAUAAAUACCUAAACUACUGUGAAAAUGAAAGGGUAAUACAAAGGUGACUGAAGACAAGUUAUCAGUGUUUAUCAUCUGGUCUGCUUUGUAUUCCUCAGAAUGAACAGCCCCAUCUGAUUUAAUCACUGUGCAAUGACCGUGAACUGUACAGUUACCUCCGUGUGUCACAGGAAGACUCUUUUGACUUAAGCACCCUUCCAUGGUCAUGAGGUUUCUGGUUGCCUCUGUGUGUUAGAAGCUUGGAGACCAAUGCCUUCUGCUGUGAUCGCGUUCUCCACAGUUGCCUCUGGGUAGGAGCCUGGACACUAAUAGAAGUAAGAGUCAAUCUUCUUGUCAUAUUUUUAUAUUUGUUUAGGGUAGAUUUUAAAAGAUUCACUAUAAAUUUUUAAAUAACCAAAGAAA